rnacentral:rRNA from 1 species
UACAGAGGUCCCAAGCGUUGUUCGGAUUCACUGGGCGUAAAGGGCGCGUAGGCGGCCACCGCAAGUCGACUGUGAAAUCUCCGGGCUUAACCCGGAACGGUCAGCCGAUACUGCGGGGCUAGAGUGCAGAAGGGGCAACUGGAAUUCUCGGUGUAGCGGUGAAAUGCGUAGAUAUCGAGAGGAACACCUGCGGCGAAGGCGGGUUGCUGGGCUGACACUGACGCUGAGGCGCGAAAGCUAGGGGAGCGAACGGG